GCCUAGGAUGGAUAGCUCAGCUGGUAGAGCACAGGGCUCUUAACCUCAUGGCUGUGGGUUCGAGUCCCAUAUUGGGUG